rnacentral:misc_RNA from 1 species
GAUGAAGAACGUAGCGAAAUGCGAUACUUGGUGUGAAUUGCAGAAUCCCGUGAACCAUCGAGUCUUUGAACGCAAGUUGCGCCCGAAGCCAUUAGGCCGAGGGCACGCCUGCCUGGGCGUCACACGUCGUUGCCCCCCCAUCUACUCCUUCGGGAUUGCGGGGGGCGGAUGAUGGCCUCCCGUGCGCCUCGUCGCGCGGUUGGCAUAAAUGCCAAGUCCUCGGCGACGCACGCCACGACAAUCGGUGGUUGCGAAACCUCGGUUGCCCGUCGUGUGCGGUCGUCGCGCAUCGAGGGCUCGAAAAAAUUGCCGGGCUCCGGCUCGGCUUUCAACGCGACCCCAGGUCAGGCGGGGUUACCCGCUGAAUUUAGGCAUAUCAAUAAGCGGAGGA